rnacentral:misc_RNA from 1 species
AUAAUACUUCUCCUUAAGCCCUUGUUGAGACACAGUUGGAGCACCUGCACCCAUUGCUUUUGGGAAAUCUUUUGUUGAAGCCACAUUUAAGUGUUCUUCUAUCUACUUGUUAGAGCCCGCUAUCAGAGAAGUUUCUGGCGCAACUCCAAUAAGCUUUAUGUGUUUGUGAUACUUCUUAAGCGCUUGUUGAAACACUGUUGGAGUACCUGCACCCAUUGCUUUUGGGGAAGCUUUUGCUGAAGCCACAUCUGACUGUUCUAUCUCAUUGUUACCCACCAUCAGAGAAGUUUCUAGUGCGACUCCAAUAAGCUUUCUAUGUUUGUGAUACAUCUUAAGACCUUGUUGAGACACUAUUGAAGCACCUGCACCCGUUGCAUUUGGGAAAGGUUUUGCUGAAGCCACAUCUGAUUGUUCUUUUAUCUCCUUGUUAGAACCCACUAUCGAAAAAGUUUCUAGAGCAACUCCAAUAAGCUUUCUUUGUUUUU